AUUGAACGCUGGCGGCAUGCCUUACACAUGCAAGUCGAACGGUAACAGGUUAAGCUGACGAGUGGCGAACGGGUGAGUAAUGUAUCGGAACGUGCCCAGUCGUGGGGGAUAACUACUCGAAAGAGUGGCUAAUACCGCAUACGACCUGAGGGUGAAAGCGGGGGACCGUAAGGCCUCGCGCGAUUGGAGCGGCCGAUAUCAGAUUAGCUAGUUGGUGGGGUAAAAGCCCACCAAGGCGACGAUCUGUAGCUGGUCUGAGAGGACGACCAGCCACACUGGGAGUGAGACACGGACCAGACUCCUACGGGAGGCAGCAGUGGGGAAUUUUGGACAAUGGAUGCAAGUCUGAUCCAGCCAUGCCGCGUGCGGGAAGAAGGCCUUCGGGUUGUAAACCGCUUUUGUCAGGGAAGAAACGAGUUUCUCUAAUACAGAGACUUAAUGACGGUACCUGAAGAAUAAGCACCGGCUAACUACGUGCCAGCCGCCGCCGUAAUAC
rnacentral:rRNA from 1 species